CUGCUGGGUUGUGGCAGCCUCUGUGACUAGCUACCACUGUCACCCUACACUAAUUAGGGUUCCUGCUUGAAGCAAGGGUCUGGGAGAGCUUCCCAGAGAACAACUGGGCGCCAGGGAGCCUUUUGAACACAGUUACCGGUGAUGUCAGAGAAACAAGCUUGUGCUCUUUUUCGGUUUUGCUCUUUGUUUUUGAGGCAAGAUACCUACCCCUGACUGGCCUCCCUGAAUUUCACGGUCCCCCUGUGCCCCCACCACCUCCCUCUCUGCUGCUAGAAGCACAGAGAAGGACCUAAUGAGGGAGGAGAGGGGACUCCACCCAUUUGGUAAAGGGUUGAAAUUGAUGCGAUUCACUGGGGGGAAAUAUAAACACAGAGCACACCAGACCCUUUUAACAGGAGGCCUGGGGGUGGGGGGAGGGCAGGCAGACUAGAGGUGUCACCCAGGGCCAAGCCAGAAUACGUGCGGGCUCCCCGAGACAUGUUUGUUGGAGAAGUUUUGGAAGAUCAUUCAAAGGAGGCCGCGCUGUGCCCGCAGCAGCCGAUUCAAGAACUGGCUUGCACAGACAGGCAAAGCCCAGGCAGGCGCCCUGGCCUGGGGCCUGGGGCGGCCCGGCCGUGCAGGAGGCCGGGCUCGGGUGAGCCGCACUGCCACCAGCCGCCGGCAGGUGUCGCUUUCCGGGCCCCGGAAUCCACCGUGAGUUCAGCAAAUGGAGGCGCGAGGAGGAGGCUGGGACGCGGGCAGAGAAGCGGAUUUCCUGGCCCGGGAACAUCCUGGCUCUUGUUUCGGGAGGCAGCCACAUGAUUUCUGAUGCCCAGUGCUUGAACACUCAAGUUUGGGGGGGAAAAAAAAAACAAACCCAGCUCUCGAGCCAAGCAAGGACUUUGUCUCUAGUUAUAAGGAUCUCUCAGCUUCCUGCUGCGGUCACCUGCCAAGCUUCCCCCACCAUCGUGGAUUCUCCUUCUGGAACCAUGAGCCCAAAUAAGCUCUUUGUUUCCUAAGUUGCUUUUGGUCGUGGUGUUUUGUCACAGCACAAAU